rnacentral:rRNA from 1 species
CGGCGAGUUACGAUUUGUUGCAAGGUUAAGCGGAAAUAUCGUAGCCGUAGCGAAAGCGAGUCUGAAUAGGGCGUAUAAGUAACAGGUCGUAGACCCGAAACCAGGUGAUCUACCCAUGUCCAGGAUGAAGGUAAGGCAAUACUUACUGGAGGUCCGAACCCACGCACGUUGAAAAGAGCGGGGAUGUGGAGUGGGGAGCGGAGAAAUUCCCAUCGAACUUGGAGAUAGCYGGUUCUCUCCGAAAUAGCUWUAGGGCYRGCCUCGAGGUAAAGAGUCAUGGAGGUAGAGCACUGUUUGGACUAGGGGCCCUUCUCGGGUUACCGAAUUCAGAUAAACUCCGAAUGCCAUGUACUUAUACUCGGGAGUCAGACUGCGAGUGAUAAGAUCCGUAGUCGAAAGGGAAACAGCCCAGACCACCAGUUAAGGUCCCCAAAUAUAUGUUAAGUGGAAAAGGAUGUGGGGUUGCUUAGACAACCAGGAUGUUGGCUUAGAAGCAGCCACCAUUGAAAGAGUGCGUAAUAGCUCACUGGUCGAGUGACCCCGCGCCGAAAAUGUACCGGGGCUAAACAUAUUACCGAAACUGUGGAUGAACCUCUUCGGAGGUUCGUGGUAGGAGAGCGUUCUAAGGGCGGUGAAGUCAGACCGGAAGGACUGGUGGAGCGCUUAGAAGUGAGAAUGCCGGUAUGAGUAGCGAAAGAAGGGUGAGAAUCCCUUCCACCGAAUAUCUAAGGUUUCCUGAGGAAGGCUCGUCCGCUCAGGGUUAGUCGGGACCUAAGCCGAGGCCGAUAGGCGUAGGCGAUGGACAACAGGUAGAGAUUCCUGUACCAGUGCUAAUUGUUUAACCGAUGGGGUGACACAGAAGGAUAGGGAAUCGCACGAAUGGAAAUGUGCGUCCAAGCAGUGAGUGUGAGAAGUAGGCAAAUCCGCUUCUUGCGAAGCAUGAGCUGUGAUGGGGAAGGAAAUUAAGUACAGAAGUUCCUGAUUUCACGCUGUCAAGAAAAGCCUCUAGGAAGAGUAGUACUGCCCGUACCGCAAACCGACACAGGUAGAUGAGGAGAGAAUCCUAAGGUGAGCGAGAGAACUCUCGUUAAGGAACUCGGCAAAAUGACCCCGUAACUUCGGGAGAAGGGGUGCUCUAUUAGGGUGCAAGCCCGAAAGAGCCGCAGUGAAUAGGCCCAGGCGACUGUUUAGCAAAAACACAGGUCUCUGCAAAACCGUAAGGUGACGUAUAGGGGCUGACGCCUGCCCGGUGCUGGAAGGUUAAGAGGAGUGCUUAGCUUCGGCGAAGGUACGAAUUGAAGCCCCAGUAAACGGCGGCCGUAACUAUAACGGUCCUAAGGUAGCGAAAUUCCUUGUCGGGUAAGUUCCGACCCGCACGAAAGGCGCAACGAUCUGGGCACUGUC